rnacentral:ncRNA from 1 species
AGGACGUAGUAAUCGACAAAAUGCUUUGGGGAGUUGAAAAUAAGCAUAGAUCUGAAAAUUUCUGAAUAGGCAACCUUUCAAACUGUUCCUAAAUCUAUGGACAGGCAAGAGACAACUUGGCCAACUGAAAGAUCUUCGUAGCCAGAGGAAAAGAAAGCAAAUGUGAUUCCCGUAAUAACGACAAGCGGAAUGAGA